rnacentral:lncRNA from 1 species
GGUUUUUUAUAAUAUUCUGAAAUAUUUUUUUUCUAUUUUUUGGUUUUACAGGGCAACAUGUUUUUGAAGAAGGUUCAUUCCUAAUGUCAAAUUGGUGGCAGAAUUAUCCUAAUUCCUUUCUACAUUGAUAUCUUUCUUUUUUAAGUUAUUUUUGUAAUUUUAAAUCUUGACAAAUUUUAAUCCUUCUUUUUGGGUGAAACUAAUUAGUUUACUAUAUGUAAGCUUUUCAUACGGAAUAAUACCUCUGUUAUUUUCUCUUAUUUGAUUUCUAAAUUUUUCU